rnacentral:rRNA from 1 species
UACGUAGGGUGCGAGCGUUAAUCGGAAUUACUGGGCGUAAAGCGUGCGCAGGCGGCGCCGCAAGUCAGGCGUGAAAUCCCCGAGCUUAACUUGGGAAUGGCGCUUGAAACUACGGUGCUGGAGUGUGGCAGAGGGAGGUGGAAUUCCCAGUGUAGAGGUGAAAUUCGUAGAUAUUGGGAAGAACACCGAUGGCGAAGGCAGCCAUCUGGACCGACACUGACGCUGAGGCGCGAAAGCGUGGGGAGCAAACAGG